rnacentral:lncRNA from 1 species
AUGGUUUCCAUCAGGGGCGAUGCAGCCCAGGCUCCUCCCAAGAUUAAGCUGGAGGCCUGCAACACAUGGGAGUCUGCUCCAACUCUGAACGGAUUAAAAGAUGUGCCCAGGGCCCCACUGGGAAGGGACAAAGGAGUCCGCUCAGGAGGAGACGGGCAUCUAUCCCUGAUUCCGGAGGGAAGCUGCACCGUAGCCCGGAGGACGGGAGCACAGAGGCAAGGGGGCAAGUGUGGGGCCAGCAGCAUCCUGACCCGGCCUUGUUCAGAUCCACUGGUGAGGUUCGUCCCUGCAACUGCACGGCUGUCUGAUUUCCAGGUGAGGAAGCUCAGGGAAGGAACUGGACUCACUGUGUCUGCAGGACUGUGAAACAGAAGAGAACAGGUGUGUGCCGGGAUCUCUACCACCUCAUGUGCCUGCAGCGUCAACAUCAGCCAAACAAAUCGACUGGAGUAUCUUUUCCACCCUCUUGAGAGCUAUGAAAUAUCAGCAGCAGAUAUCAAAGUAACCCAAGUCUCCAGAAUACCAAGGUUAAGGGCCAGGGAUUUGGCUCAGUGGUUCCGCCGUCUGCCUCACAAGCACAAGGUCUUGAGUUCGAUCCCUGGUACACACACAAAAAAAAAGGAGAUUACCAAGGUUAUAUCACAUUGUUCAAAUAUUCUACAAGGACAAAAGAUGAAGUCUCUCACAGCUCAGACCUCAGGGUAGAUGGCCAAGAAGAUAUCUAGACCACAGAUACCGGGUGAAGGACCUCAGAGGUGGAGAAAUUUGUUUCCUGUUUUUCACGCCUUCUGCAUUCUACAAAGAGCAGAUCACAAGAAAAUCCCUCAUGGGAUGAUAGGUGAAGGGGCCAGUGUGAGAAUCUGAGAGAGAAAACUGUCAGUGUAGGAGAAGGGAUCGAGGCAGUAGGAUGGGGUGUGGGUGGGAUGUGAACUCCAGGGAUGAAGACGAGGGUCACAAUGACCUUGGAAAGGCCGUGGGGACCAGGAAGAAGAGACUUAGCCACUGAGUCACAAGUGAGAAGGACUUGGGCAGAGAGGACAGAAAUGGAAAAGGGAUGUUCAGGAGGGGCUGCAGGCUGGUGCAGGGCGUUAACCUUUCCAAUGGUCAGUAUAGUCCUGAAAAUUUUCC